UGGGGAAUAUUGGACAAUGGGCGAAAGCCUGAUCCAGCCAUGCCGCGUGUGUGAAGAAGGUCUUCGGAUUGCAAAGCACUUUAAGUUGAGAGGAAGGGCAGUAAGCGAAUACCUUGCUGUUUUGACGUUACCGACAGAAUAAGCACCGGCUAACUCUGUGCCAGCAGCCGCGGUAAUACAGAGGGUGCAAGCGUUCAUCGGAAUUACUGGGCGUAAAGCGCGCGUAGGUGGUUCGUUAAGUGGAAUGUGAAAGCCCCGGGCUCAACCUGGGAACAGCAUCCAAAACUGGCGAGCUCGAGUAGGGCAGAGGGUGGUGGAAUUUCCUGUGUAGCGGUGAAAUGCGUAGAUAUAGGAAGGAACACCAGUGGCGAAGGCGACCACCUGGGCUCAUACUGACACUGAGGUGCGAAAACGUGGGGAGCAAACAGG
rnacentral:rRNA from 1 species